rnacentral:lncRNA from 1 species
GGCGAGAAUGGCCCUGGAGACGGUGCCAAAGGACCUGCGGCAUCUGCGAGCUUGUUUGCUGUGCUCGUUAGUCAAGACUAUAGACCAGUUUGAAUAUGAUGGGUGUGACAAUUGCGAUGCAUACCUACAAAUGAAGGGCAACAGAGAGAUGGUGUACGACUGCACCAGCUCUUCAUUUGAUGGACAGGGUUUCUCUGUCUCCUGGCUGGCCUCAAACUCAAAGAGAUCCACCUACCUCUAUGUCCAGAGCCUUGGGAUUAUAGAAUCAUCGCGAUGAUGAGUCCAGAGGACAGCUGGGUCUCCAAGUGGCAGCGCGUCAGUAACUUUAAGCCAGGUGUAUAUGCUGUGUCAGUCACUGGUCGUCUGCCCCAAGGAAUUGUGCGGGAGCUGAAAAGUCGAGGAGUGGCCUACAAAUCGAGAGACACAGCAAUAAAGACCUAGCUAGAUGC